rnacentral:rRNA from 1 species
UACGAAGGGGGCUAGCGUUGCUCGGAAUCACUGGGCGUAAAGGGUGCGUAGGCGGGUUUUUAAGUCAGGGGUGAAAUCCUGGAGCUCAACUCCAGAACUGCCUUUGAUACUGAAGAUCUCGAGUCCGGGAGAGGUGAGUGGAACUGCGAGUGUAGAGGUGAAAUUCGUAGAUAUUCGCAAGAACACCAGUGGCGAAGGCGGCUCGCUGGCCCGGUACUGACGCUGAGGCACGAAAGCGUGGGGAGCGAACAGG